rnacentral:rRNA from 1 species
AUUGAACGCUGGCGGCGUGCUUAACACAUGCAAGUCGAACGCACCUUCGGGUGAGUGGCGGACGGGUGAGUAACGCGUAGGUAAUCUACUCUUCAGUGGGGGAUACCCAGCCGAAAGGUUGGUUAAUACCGCAUACGCUCCUGUGCAGAGAGGUACAGGAGGAAAGGUUUACUGCUGAGGAAUGAGCCUGCGUCCGAUUAGCUAGUUGGUGGGGUAAAGGCUCACCAAGGCGACGAUCGGUAGCUGGUCUGAGAGGACGAUCAGCCACACUGGAACUGAGACACGGUCCAGACUCCUACGGGAGGCAGCAGUGGGGAAUUUUCCGCAAUGGGCGAAAGCCUGACGGAGCAACGCCGCGUGGGUGAUGAAGUUUUUCGGAACGUAAAACCCUUUCGCCAGGGACGAAGCGAGUGACGGUACCUGGAGAAGAAGCAUCGGCUAACUACGUG